rnacentral:rRNA from 1 species
GCUGUGGAAACCUCCUUGAUUGGUGGUAGAAGCGCUUCCGCAUUCAACACAUGCAUAUGCCCCUGUCCGUGGAGGUUACUGUGAACAAAACAGCGUGUCCAAAGCAACCACAUGUCUGGCUGAAUGAUCUAGCAUGGAAUAACAAGGCAUCGACCACUGGAGUCAGCCUUUUUGUUGGUUUUACAUGACCCAGUUGGGCAAUGCAGGGCUUGUGCUUCAUUGAGGUUCUUAGUCAGCUCUACCGAACUGUCUUCCCUCAGUUGGACCUUGUUCCCUAUCGGGAUCAAUGGAAGCCACCGGGGUGGUAUGUAUUCCGACGUGAGCGGUGAAAUGCUUAGACCGUUGGAAGACAAACGACAGCGAAGGCAUUCCGCCAGAAUGUUUUCAUUAAUCAAGAACGAGAGUGUGGGGAUCGAAGAUGAUCAGAUACCAUCGUAGUCCAUUACCGUAAACUAUGCCAACUCGGCAUUGGGAGUCUGUUCACUUUGAAGACUCUCCCAGCAUCAUCCCCCAAUAACGAGAAAUCCAAGUCUAUGGGUUCAGGGGGGAGUACAGUCGCAAGGCUGAAACUUAAAGGAAUUGACGGAAUGACACCACAAGGCGUGGAGUAUGCGGCUUAAUUUGACCCAACACGGGGAAGCUUACCAGGUCAGACACAGUAAGGAUUGACAGAUUGAGAGCUCUUUCUUGAUCCUAUGGAUGGUGGUGCAUGGCCGUUUCUGGUUCGUGGAGUGAUCUGUCUGCUUAAUUGCGAUAACGAACGAGAUCUCUACCUCUAAAUAGGCGCCGGUCUCGCAUGUAAGUAGGGAUGUGUUGGGGGCCUUCGUGUCCCCUCAUGUCCUGAGAGUGCCGGGAUCGCUUCUAGACGGACUGUGCUCUUUAAUGCACGGAAGAGGGAGUCAAUAGCAGGUCUGUGAUGCUCCUAGAUGUUCUGGGCUGCACGCGCACUACACUGGCACAGUAAACGAGUUGCACCUGCUUCGGCAGUCCUGCUUAGAAGUGAGCGUGGGAAAUCUUAGAAAACUGUGCCGUGCUGGGGAUAGAUGAUUGCGAUUAUUUGUCUUGAACGAGGAAUGCCUAGUAGAGGUACUUCAUCAGAGUACCUUGAUUGUGUCCCUGCCAUUUGUACACACCGCCCGUCGUUGCUACCGAUUGGCUGUAAAAUAGAGGCCUUAAGAGUCGCUUCCGCAAAGCUUUGCUUUUGAGGUUGUGACAAAUCUGGCCAAUAUUUCAUUGCUAGAGGAAGCAAAAGUCGUAACAAGG